rnacentral:rRNA from 1 species
GACGAACGCUGGCGGCGUGCUUAACACAUGCAAGUCGAACGGUGAACCCGCUUCGGUGGGGGAUCAGUGGCGAACGGGUGAGUAACACGUGGGCAACCUGCCCCCGGCUCUGGGAUAACCCCAAGAAAUUGGGGCUAAUACCGGAUAUGACCGCUGACCGCAUGGUCUGGUGGUGGAAAGAUUUAUCGGCUGGGGAUGGGCCCGCGGCCUAUCAGCUUGUUGGUGGGGUAGUGGCCUACCAAGGCGACGACGGGUAGCCGGCCUGAGAGGGUGACCGGCCACACUGGGACUGAGACACGGCCCAGACUCCUACGGGAGGCAGCAGUGGGGAAUAUUGCGCAAUGGGCGGAAGCCUGACGCAGCGACGCCGCGUGGGGGAUGACGGCCUUCGGGUUGUAAACCUCUUUCAGCAGGGACGAAGCCGUGAGGUGACGGUACCUGCAGAAGAAGCACCGGCCAACUACGUGCCAGCAGCCGCGGUAACAC